CCACGCCGCGUGGGGGAUGACGGCCUUCGGGUUGUAAACCUCUUUCGCCGGGGACGAAGCCUUCGGGUGACGGUACCUGGAUAAGAAGCACCGGCCAACUACGUGCCAGCAGCUGCGGUAAUACGUAGGGUGCGAGCGUUGUCCGGAAUUAUUGGGCGUAAAGAGCUCGUAGGCGGUGUGUCGCGUCGGCCGUGAAAACCUGUGGCUUAACCAUGGGCGUGCGGUCGAUACGGGCAUCACUUGAGUUCGGCAGGGGAGACUGGAAUUCCUGGUGUAGCGGUGAAAUGCGCAGAUAUCAGGAGGAACACCGGUGGCGAAGGCGGGUCUCUGGGCCGAUACUGACGCUGAGGAGCGAAAGCGUGGGGAGCGAACAGGAUUAGAUACCCUGGUAGUCCACGCCGUAAACGUUGGGCGCUAGGUGUGGGGACCAUUCCACGGUUUCUGUGCCGCAGCUAACGCAUUAAGCGCCCCGCCUGGGGGAGUACGGCCGCAAGCUA
rnacentral:rRNA from 1 species